rnacentral:rRNA from 1 species
UACGUAGGGGGCAAGCGUUGUCCGGAAUCAUUGGGCGUAAAGAGCGCGCAGGCGGUCGUUCAAGUCGAGUGUGAAAGCCCCCGGCUCAACUGGGGAGGGUCACUCGAUACUGAUCGACUCGAAGGCAGGAGAGGGAAGUGGAAUUCCCGGUGUAGUGGUGAAAUGCGUAGAUAUCGGGAGGAACACCAGUGGCGAAGGCGACUUCCUGGCCUGUUCUUGACGCUGAGGCACGAAAGCUAGGGGAGCAAACGGG